UACAGAGGGUGCGAGCGUUGUCCGGAAUCACUGGGCGUAAAGGGCUCGUAGGCGGCUUGAUAAGCGUGCGGUGAAAGCCCGGGGCUCAACCCCGGGUCGGCCGUGCGAACUGUCGAGCUGGAGCACUGUAGAGGCAGGUGGAAUUCCGGGUGUAGCGGUGGAAUGCGUAGAGAUCCGGAAGAACACCGGUGGCGAAGGCGGCCUGCUGGGCAGUGGCUGACGCUGAGGCGCGACAGCGUGGGGAGCAAACAGG
rnacentral:rRNA from 1 species